UAAAUGCUGUCAGUCAACGCAGCAAGUUUUUGGAAGUCAUUUGAUAAUAAAAGAUGAAAAUAUGUGUGAAAAUGUGUGCGGCAUGUGUGUGUGGUUUUCACAGGGAGCAAAUGAGGCCGCUUACAACAGCACUCGUCACUCGAGACGCAUCCACUCGGGGGCCUUGUCUUGAGACGUUCUUCACAAGAUGUUCUUCACGGGACACAAAGGACUUCAAUCAGACCCGAGAAGCAGAACAAUCAUGACUCUCAUCACUUGCUGGAAAUUGGAGUGGAAGUAGAAGCCCCGGCCACGCGCCAUUAAUCUCCUGGGUGUCAAAGUUGGACGGUGGCAAUUCCAAAGGUGGCGAAGCAGUGUGCCCCGGAUUAAAAAGCAACAGCCUGCACGAACAAGAUGUUGGUGUGUCAGCGAGGCCCCGGAGCGACGCCGUCGGCGCCAGCUGGGCUCGGACACCGGAAAAUGUCUCGGUUAAAGGUGGCUCGUUUCCAGAUCCUCGCCAUUUUGCGAAAGUGAACCCCGAGGCGUAAUGCUUCACUUCUAAGGCGGCGACGUAAUUCACUCAGCAGGCCGACUUCGAAAAAGCCGCCGUUCCAUCGAGGACAAUCGCGCUUCGCCUCGGCAACAC